rnacentral:rRNA from 1 species
ACGAACGCUGGCGGCGUGCUUAACCCAUGCAAGUCGAACGGAAAGGCCCCUUUGGGGGUACUCGAGUGGCGAACGGGUGAGUAACACGUGAGUAACCUGCCCUUGACUUCGGGAUAACUUCAGGAAACUGGGGCUAAUACCGGAUAGGAAUCCUUGCUGCAUGGUGGGGGUUGGAAAGCUUCGGCGGUUUUGGAUGGACUCGCGGCUUAUCAGCUUGUUGGUGGGGUAGUGGCUUACCAAGGCUUUGACGGGUAGCCGGCCUGAGAGGGCGACCGGCCACAUUGGGACUGAGAUACGGCACAGACUCCUACGGGAGGCAGCAGUGGGGAAUAUUGCACAAUGGGCGGAAGCCUGAUGCAGCAACGCCGCGUGCGGGAUGACGGCCUUCGGGUUGUAAACCGCUUUCAGCAGGGGCGAAGCUUGUGGUGACGGUACCUGCAGAAGAAGCACCGGCUAACUACGUG